rnacentral:lncRNA from 1 species
GGCUAUGCCUCAAUUGAUAAAGUGAACUAAUUGCCUACUUCAAAAGCAGUUUUGCAUGAAAGUCAACAUCUAAUUGGAAUUUACAAUGCCCGAUAUUUCUACACAUCUGCCACAAAUUUUAUGGAAAACAAUAUUUAUAGAAACUGAACAUACCUUGGUUAAACGUAUAUAAAAUGGGUAACCAUCCUCGAAGAACAUCAACCAGCUGUCGGCAAUGUGCAGGUGGACUGAGGAAUUUUCCGGUGUGUCCUUUAUGGACUGUACUCCGUCUUAGCACUAUCCUCAAGUUUUACCCGAGAGGCCAUGCUUCAGGUUGGACCGUCUUCCAUAUAUCUACUGACUUCAUAUAAAUGAAAGUGUACUGAGGACUCACUAAUCUGCACUACCAGUAACAAAGUAAUCCGACAAUCAGACUGGACCCGGUCAUGUUAGAUACCAGAGGAAGACGAAAAUAUAAUUGAUUCUGUACUGAUGCAUGACUUCGCUCGGAACGCGGCAAGAAUUAACAAUGGAAGAAAAUACUACAGACGUGUUUAUUAACAAUAAAGUUAUUUUUGUUUUUAUGAAAUAGCGAUUGAAUAAAAAUAUUAGG